rnacentral:rRNA from 1 species
UACGGAGGGUGCGAGCGUUGUCCGGAAUCACUGGGCGUAAAGGGCGCGUAGGCGGCGCGGAUAGUCGGCGGUGAAAGCCCGGAGCUCAACUCCGGGUCGGCCGUCGAUACUUCCGGGCUUGAGCACUGUAGAGGCAGAUGGAAUUCCGGGUGUAGCGGUGGAAUGCGUAGAGAUCCGGAAGAACACCGGUGGCGAAGGCGGUCUGCUGGGCAGUUGCUGACGCUGAUGCGC